GCCAAAGUGGCGGAACUGGUAGACGCGCUGGACUCAAAAUCCAGUGGGUGAAUAACCCGUGUGGGUUCGAUUCCCACCUUUGGUA
rnacentral:tRNA from 1 species